CAGCAGCCGCGGGAAUACGUAGGUGGCAAGCGUUGUCCGGAAUUAUUGGGCGUAAAGGGCUCGCAGGCGGUUUCUUAAGUCUGAUGUGAAAGCCCCCGGCUCAACCGGGGAGGGUCAUUGGAAACUGGGAAACUUGAGUGCAGAAGAGGAGAGUGGAAUUCCACGUGUAGCGGUGAAAUGCGUAGAAAUGUGGAGGAACACCAGUGGCGAAGGCGACUCUCUGGUCUGUAACUGACGCUGAGGAGCGAAAGCGUGGGGAGCGAACAGGAUUAGAUACCCCUGUAGUCCCUGUCUCUUAUAC
rnacentral:rRNA from 1 species